GGAUUAGAUACCCUGGUAGUCCUGGCCCUAAACGAUGAAUACUUGGUGUCUGGAAUUAUUAUUGUUCCGGGUGCCGUAGCUAACGUUUUAAGUAUUCCGCCUGGGGAGUACGCACGCAAGUGUGAAACUCAAAGGAAUUGACGGGGACCCGCACAAGCGGUGGAGCAUGUGGUUUAAUUCGACGCAACGCGAAGAACCUUACCUGGACUAGAAUGUGAGGGAAGGGCUUCUAACAGAGUCCGUCCGGGAAACCGGACCCAAAACAAGGUGCUGCAUGGCUGUCGUCAGCUCGUGCCG
rnacentral:rRNA from 1 species